AAAAGCAGCUUGAGAAAGGUCCCUGCCACCCUCUGCCACGUGAGGUUACAGUGAGAAGAUGACCAUCUAGGAAGAAGUGAAUCCUCACCAGACACUGGAUCUGCUGGCACUUUGAUCUUGGACUUCCCAGCCUCCAGAACUAUACUGAAACUCCUGGAAAUUGAAGUCAAAAUCAUCAUCAUAAGCCAGUAAUCUCAUUUCCUCCCCCUUUCGAAAAUGACGGAGCCUGAUGCCCCUGCCAGCCAGGUGAGCAUGGAGAAGAACAGCAAACACAUGGAUUCCACUUGGCUUUUCAGCUUCCAGAGCCUACAGGCAGGGCACACAGAGGAAGACACAAUUAGCCCAAACAAGCACAUGUUCAGACAGUUCACCAUAAAAGAGCCUUGGAUCGACAACUGAGAAGACAAUCUAAAGCAAUUUAAGUGAAUGCUUGAGCCGCCACACAUUUUGAAUUUGGAUCUUUCAUGACUUAUUCCUAGUAGUGUUAUCUUUGUGAAAUAACAUUUUGUGGGCAGAAAAGAAGGGGAACUAAUGCUUACUGAGAACCUACUGGACCACUCCUAAAUGUUAUCUUUCUUUUAGGAGGUAAAGAGGCAAUCAAAGCUCCUGGCAAAAAUGAUUCCAGUUAUGUUAGUAACCUGUAAAUAGAAACUCUUCAAAGGGGAAAUUAUUCUCACUUUCUGAGAUAAGAAAACCAAGUAGAAGAGGUGGUCAGGAAGUAAAACAUCCUGGGAGUUAUUAUUGUCCAGAAUUCUACUCCUACAGCCUUCAGGAUUUAAAAAAAGCAAUCAAAGGUCUUGCCACAAUGAUAAGUAAUGACUUUACAUCAUGAUAAUGAGAAAAAGAUUAAUAACAAGUAUGAGAUUUUCCAAACAUAGUUUUCUAAGAGCACUGAUUAAUCUAUAAAUAGCAGCUCACAGACUCAGAAGCUCCACAUACCUCUUCUAGGCAUUCCAGAGUGCAGUGACCCUCAGACCGGAAUUCAGGCAUCCCUGGAGGGAUGGUAUGGAAGAGGCUUACCCAGAGGCCAGCCUCAAUCACUCCAGCAUCAUACUUCCUUAUAUCUGUCGUAUGAAAUAACCUCAGCCCAGAAUUAUCUAUUAAACCUGGAAUAAGAACAUAUAAUUAAAAGUGAGUUUGAGUUCUUAAAAAAAAAAAAGUUCUCUACAUUCAGGUGAAAUAGAUUUACAAAUUUUCUUUACAAUCUCACAAAGGAAAGAAUUACAAAUAAAAA